CAGCAGCCGCGGUAAUACGUAGGUCCCGAGCGUUGUCCGGAUUUAUUGGGCGUAAAGCGAGCGCAGGCGGUUAGAUAAGUCUGAAGUUAAAGGCUGUGGCUUAACCAUAGUACGCUUUGGAAACUGUUUAACUUGAGUGCAAGAGGGGAGAGUGGAAUUCCAUGUGUAGCGGUGAAAUGCGUAGAUAUAUGGAGGAACACCGGUGGCGAAAGCGGCUCUCUGGCUUGUAACUGACGCUGAGGCUCGAAAGCGUGGGGCGCAAACAGGAUUAGAUACCCGCGUAGUCCCUGUCUCUUAUACA
rnacentral:rRNA from 1 species